rfam:Stegodyphus mimosarum contig113848, whole genome shotgun sequence.
GCCUUCGUGGUGUAGCGGUCAGCACUCUCGACGCUUAUUCGAGAGGUCUGUGGUUCGAGUCCCGGCGACAGCA